rnacentral:piRNA from 1 species
UGGAAAUCGAUAAUAAAAACG